rnacentral:misc_RNA from 1 species
CUAUACUCCAGUUUAGACCGAUUCAUGAAUUAGAAUCAUUGACCUGGUGGUCCCAGUCUAAUUCAUGGAUCAAAUCAACAAGCGGCUAGGUCUACAUUAGGUGCUCACUUAUUGUCUCGGCAAAAAUAAUAAAUUGUCUUAAAACUCGAAACCUCCAACCUUAACUCUAACCAAUGAACCAAAGCUCUUCGGCUCUCCACGUUCAUAGCUCUUAAAACAUGCACAAAUGAGCAGGGCCCAUCACAGCACGAGAAAAAUAUGAGGUAAAUAAUUAUUCAUUUCCCGCAUGAUGACAAUAAUUAAGGUCACUACCAGAUACACAUUCCCUCUUUCCUUGGUGGGCAUACAACAGAUACGUUUGUUGAGAAGAAAAAGCCACCCCCUUUCAACCGCAAAAGGAACGGCUGGAGGAAAAUGCCACAACCAAGAAAUUUUAGGGUACAAAAAAUUUCAGUCAUGUAUGCCUAAAUGAUUAUUCACUCUUUCUAAAACUUCCUGCAAUACACCAAUGUCCACUAAAGUAUUUCAAACCAAACCUUCGGUUUGUAACAGUCCAGGAUAAACCAGAGAUAUUAUCUCUUUUAAGGAUUUUACUGAUGCCUUCAAGAAAAUUUGCCCCUCCAUUGCUUUUAACAGCAAUUUGACCUCCUUUGAGAAAUCCUCUACACGCCCUAAUAUUGGUCUUAUUCCACAAAUGUGCAAAACACAUAACUCUAAAUAUAGUGCCAUCUCCAUUAUUUGAAGCAUUAAGAGACAGACUGACUGGAUUUCUGGAUGAACUUGCUUCAUUUUGUUUGCAUUACACAGUUCAGAAACAACUGAAAUUGCUUGAUCCUGCAAGCCAUGUAAUAUCUCAGGCAUUGGAAGCUCAGGAAUAUGAGCAAGAUCAAUAAAUCCCACUUCCUCUGACCUUCUAAGAGCACCUUUUGCUUCAAAACAAAGAAAUUUCAACAGAAGAAAUGCAAUUCUAUAUAUCUGCAAGGCAACUAUGUCUGAGAAAUAUGUUGGAGAAACAGUAUUUGCAGUUUCAGUUGAUUGGCCCUGGAUUACAAGUGCAUUACUUGUGGCUGAGACAGUGGAAAGUUUGGGCUUUGAAGCACAACAAAUAGGUGAAAGCGCAAACCAUCCAUUCCUUAUAUUUAAAAAGGUUGGCUUCUUGCAGCAAUCAAAUUCCUCUUUGAAGAUAGGAGGACAGAAGAGAGGCGCAGUUCUUCCGGGAGAUUCUCCAGGACGAUGAAUUCCUCGGCUAAUAAAGGCCAACAGAUGGACACUUUUCUCUCGCAACUGCGAAUCCAUUUCUUUCAUGCCCUUAACCCACAAAUUCCAAUGAUUUGCCAGAGUGCACAUCAACAGAAGAGUAUGUUCUGUUUCCUUAAGAGCAUUCAGAGAAGUUUGUGUCCUUUGUGCCCGCAGUCUUUUCUUAUCAUGAUUAUCAGAUGGGAAGUCAGGUGCAUCAAGAUAAUAAGAAAUCAAAUGAGCUUUCUCUGAAAACAAGUAAGGUAUUACAUUGUCCAUUAGAUCAGUAUAAUAAGAGUCUCCCAAAGAAUUAAUCAUAGCUGUAACCACAGCCAAGCCAAAACCCCAAAUCUGUUGCGGCUUUUCUUCUUUCUCAGAUGACUUUGCAAAGCUAUUGUUGUUAAUAAUCGUUGUGAAAGGCCUACUAUCCAAUAAGUUGUCAAACAAGGCCCUAAGAGACAAGAAAAAACCAGCAUUAAGAAGCAUUUCAGCACCUCCUCUCACUUGUGCCAAAGUCAAAAGGAACUUCAAUGCUAUUGCGAUCGAUGCAAAAGAAUCAUCUUGAAGCUUUAGAAUAACAUGCUGCAAUUGUAGAUGUGUCCGUAUGAUAGGGAACCAAGUCUUAGGUGUCAAAAAACUUCUUAGUAUUAAGUCAAUGGUAGUCAAGGUGAGGCCACUAUGUUCAGCAAUAGUAAUGCAAUUGCAUAAAAUAGGCAAUAGUCCUAGGCAAACAUUGGAAAUCUCUGCAAAGCCUUCAGAUUCCUUGUCUGGAGUUUUAUUGGACUCCACUGCAAAGAGAAGCAGCAUAAGCAAGACCUUCAAUGUUUUGUUAACCCCACUAACGGAUGACCGGAGGCCACUCAGCAUUUUGACUCCAGAACCUGAGGUUUUCAAAACAAGUACACAAGCAGAUAAAGACAAGUUGCCUUGGGCUGAUCUUACAAGAUGGAGAAGUAAUUCUGCUUGUGCUGAAAGGAAAUCAAGAAUCUCUUCAGAGGCAUCAAGAACUGGAGCCAAUGAUUCCACUGUGACGUGAAAAUGUUGGCAUAUGUGAUCAAUGCAUGAGAAGCAGAGUUGACGAGGGAGCUUUCCUCCAAUUACAGUCUUUUUCUCUGGCGAAUUAUCGUCAUACAAAGUCAAGACAGUUAUCAAGGCCUUCAGUGUGGAAAGUUUUGAACUAGAAAGUAAAAUCAUUGAAUUCACUUGCUGCAUGCAAUCCAACAUUGUUUCUGCAAUUGCUUUACAUUCUUUCCACUCUGUAUGAUCCCACAUAUGUAGUCCCAAAUCUGUUCGUAUAUGAUUGAUAUCAUACAAGCAGAUGCUUUUGGCAUGUGCAAAACAUUCAUCAUUGUACUUUUGUUGGUAUGUCUGCAAACAUUUUGAUUCAACUAGACACAUAGAGAGUUCUUUAAAUGGCCCGGGACCAAUUUUACGGCCUCGGAGCUCCCCUUGUAGAUGAUAAUAAAGAUCACUGAGGAUCAGACUUUUUAGUUCCUUUCCCUCACUGUAACCCCGUUGAGAGUAUUGAGCCAACAGUUCAGAAAGGGCAGGCUGACAGUUCAAAUUUUCAAAAGUGACACGGAUCUUCUUCAGUAAUGAUACAGAUAUGCUUCCAGUAUUGCCAGAUUCCAACUUCCCCAUCACAUGGACAAUGAACAUACUGGAAGCAACCUUUGCACGAUAACAAAUUUCAUCAUCAUAUUCACAGCAAGAAUACGACUUCAUUAGGUUCCCCAAAAAGGACUUGUCACACCAAUUUGACAAGAUAUUCUCCAAAUCAAAAUCACUCCCAGAUUGCAACUUUUCUGUGCUCACUCUAUGUUCUGUUUUGUCCUUAGAAUGAGGAGCAUCUUUUAGAAGUGAGUUAGCAUGCAACAACUUCUUCCUCAGAAACAUCUCAUAUGCCAUUAUUUCCAAUACAGCAGAUUGACAGCAAUAUUUGUACACCAAGCUUUGAGCUUCCAUUUCGGUCAAAUUUUCAAGCACAAAAGUUUUCGAGCUAGUAACCACUGAAACACAGUUGCAGAGUUGCUUCCAAAACAUUCUAGAGCUUUUGAGAUGCUCCAAAAUAUUAAUAUACUGAACAGCCCCUUCCCACAAUGCCUUUAAGAAAUCUAGUACACCAAGCAGUACACGGGGAUUGCUGUUAAUAAAGUCACCAGCACUGUCUACAUAUUGCAUAAGUGCAUCAAGCAGACUUGAUUUCUGGGACCCCGGUGGACCAUUGGAAAUUUCACUCAAUUGUUGCUUCAUGCCACCAGUGUUACUUGAUUGGACUUCAGUAUCCACUUUCGGAGCUAAAAUCGCAAGAAGAAAAGAAGGCUGAUGGCGAGCUGCAGAAUUAAGCAGACUGACCAUAGCAACAAACAGAUCUCCGUUCCACUCCAUCUGCUCAAAUAAUGCACUUUUCACAGAAUGUCUUAAAUCUGCAAUCUGCUCGUCAUCCAGACCAAAACACACGUUGCUAGCCAAAUAUGGCUGCAAAUUAUCUGCCAUAACCAACAAUUUAGAUAAUACCUUAGUAGCCCCAACCUGUAUUGCAGGAUUGAGUGAAUAUGAUAUCAAGGAUAUAACAGCUGCAAUAACAGGAAUCGGUUUGGCUGAAGAUGACAGCACCGCUUGGUAAAAGACAGGAAGACUGGGUGAGAUAUCCUCAGAAAAUUUGGAGAUCAUGAUAUACAGAAUGUCCAAAGCAGAACUGAUAGCAAGCUGAAAUCCUUCUAUUUCCACCGGUUCAACAAGACGGCUGACAUUAAGCUUCUCUAAGGUUCGUUUAGUUGUGCAAACAAGCCGAAAGAUUACACUGUGGAUAGAAGAAUCGGAGAAUAACAUAUCAUGGAUAGCAACACCCAAUUUCUCAGAAAAUGAGAUUGAUAACACGCAUUUUUUCAGCACUUCCAAAACCUUCAAUGUUACUUUCCAUCUAACGUUCUUCAGCUUGUAUUUCCAGUACUCAUGAUUAAUUAGAAUAUACUGCAGAGAAAAAACAACUAAAGCGAGAACAAGUUCAUUUUCUAUUCCCGUCUCUACCAGCUGCAUGGUAAACUCCAGCACUGAUAUUGUUAAUGGCUUCUCAUAAUCAUUCAGCUCAGAGUCUAUCAAAAGCAUCUUUGCUAGUUUUCCAGAAAGAAACCACGAUCCACUUGAUAAUCCAUCAUUUCCAACAUCGAACAUGCUUGUCUUCAAAGUCAUCUCAAAUAUAUUUGUUUUCAGAGCAACAGCAGCAACAUGAGAUGGCGCACAUUUCAACAUCAUUGCCAAAAUACUGACACCCAUAGACAUCAUUGCAGCACCACCAGAACUAGGAUACAACUUUUUUAUCACUGCACAAAUAACCUCAACCACCCACAAACUCCUCUCGAUCUGCCAAUUCACUCCAACUUCUUGAAAGUAAAAUGAGUUGCCAAUGUCCAUCAAAGAAAAAGUUACAGCCAUGUUAAAAGACACCAUUCGACUAAGAAGGUCAAGAGUGAGAAAAACUUCCUCGUUGCUCUCCAUAUACUGCUCCCGAGCCAAACGCAGAAGCAGGAUGAGCAGCCCAGAUUGCGUAAACUCCCAACGUACAAGAGCAGUAUUCCCACCAAUAAGUUUCAAGACAUGACCACGAGUUUUACUUGGUAUUAGCAAACCUUCCACCCCAGGAACGUGCAAUGGAUGGUGAGUUUCAACAAUCUGUAAGAUGUUGUCUAACCAGGAUUCACUAGUAAUUUCAAACAGGGAUGAUAUGCCAACAGACUUAUCAAGAAAGUUAUACACGCAUUCGGUGGGCCAACUUCCUUCACUAAGGGAUGAUAAAAGGCGACUAAGUUCUGCAGUCCUGAAGGGAAAUUCACCCUCUAAGUUGCAGAGAAGACACCGAAUAGGGCCAUCAAUGAAACUUUCCUUGUCCCAAAACUGACUACAAAGUGAUUCCUCUCCUCGAUAGAUCUUGCAAAGAAUAUCUAAUAUGAGAUUAAGGGUUCUGUCUUCUAACUGAAGAUUAAUCUCAUAAGAUGCAAUAAAUGCAGAAACAAAAGUUCUCAAGACACUUCGAUAACCAGCAACAGGCCCAUCUGACUCCUUCAUCAAGCUGCUAUCAAGAAUUUCAACAAAAUAACUCAGCGAUUCACUUUCAAAUGCUUGACGAAGAUAACCAACAUGAUCAAUUUCCAUUAGCACUUUAUUUUCUUCUUUUCCAGGAAGUGAUGAAAUUAGACAGAGACAUACAGCCCAUGUAAGUAUUAGCGGGCCUGCUUCUUUAACUUCAAAAGCACUAAAACUAGAUAGCAAUGCAUCCAUCUGUUGAAUAUCAGUCAAUGAAAAUAUGGAAGCACCUGACCUGAAAGGAAUUUCAUCAUGGACCAAUUGAAGAAGAUUUUCCAGGUCCAACGUUUCCAUUAGGAUGAGUAGUAAUAGGACUUUGGCAUGAUAAGAAGACUUUAGUGCUUCAGUUGAUAUUGCCAGCUUUUCAAAAUUAUACAAGCCAAAUAAGAUCCCCUUGUAAAGUGAGCAUAGGUUUUUCCAUGUAUCACCGUUACAAGUACAAAGUGACUCAUAGUAAAUGAGGAAGAGAAUGUCUAAAACCAAAUUGUCCUCGAUCAGUGUCUCCUCAGCCCACAAAGUGAAAAGAUCUACAUCCAUCUCCUUAGGAUGACUAGAGGAUAAAAGGUCCCGCAGAACAGAGAUUAAUUUGUGUUCCAGUCCAUCAGAAAUCAGCUUUGUCACCUCAUCCCUAACAACAUUUUCUCCUUUUGAGCUAAUUCCAACAUAUAAAGCAUGCAUGAGAAUCUGCCUGGUACACUUCAGCAAGCACUGUCGCUCAAUGUAGUAGUGGAGCAAUAUCACAUGGAGAUAUUCUUCAGCUAUGGAAUCAAUAGCUAAGCCAUUGCUUUCAUGAGAUCUUUCCACAAGAAUAUACGAUUGCACCUCAUCUAAACACAAAUAGGAACUAAUUUGCAAAGCCUUAUUUUUCAAUUCAGGCUUGAUCGUCAAUUCAUGACUGCCGAUUUUCACUUGCUGUGAAUUCAAAACCUCUCUUGAUUUCGCAUUUGGAGGCCUGAAGAGCGAUACUGUAUCCACGAACCACGCAUGAUUCUCCUUCAACUUCUUCGCUAUGGAUGGAGGGAGGUCAGAAGAGAGAGGAGCGUUUUCGAGGUCAGUGAGAAGGGAAGUGAAAGGAUCCCACCAGAGGAAGGAAUCUACAGACUUAGGGUUCGACAUUGGAAGAAGAGAAGGGGUUAAGAGCUUCAGAGAAAUGAAAUUGAAACCCUAGAAGAAAAAGUAGGAGCAGCAGAAUAAGCAGCAGUAGUAGCAGCAGAAAAGAGAGAUACAACUAAGGUAGACCU